CAAAAAUGCCUUCAAUACUAUUAUUAACCCUUUCAUGACCGGGCCUAAAAAAGUCCUGAAUGUCCAGGCAAUUUUUCGUGAUUUUGUGCACGUGGUGGUUUAGUGACCCUAACUUUUUUAUUUGACUAUAAAAAUAUUUUUGCAAUG